rnacentral:rRNA from 1 species
UACGAGUGCCCCAAGCGUUAUCCGGAAUUAUUGGGUGUAAAGGGUGCGUAGGUGGUCUUAUUAGUCUCGUGUUAAAACCUGGAGCUCAACUCCAGACCUGCACAGGAAACGGUAAGACUAGAGGGUGUGAGAGGUCUGUAGAACUCAUGGUGUAGGGGUGAAAUCCGUUGAUAUCAUGGGGAAUACCAAAAGCGAAGGCAGCAGACUGGCACAUUCCUGACAUUGAGGCACGAAAGCGUAGGUAGCGAAUGGG